rnacentral:tRNA from 1 species
GAGGAUGUGGCUAAGUGGUAGAGCUCUUGCCUGGCAUGUGUGAGGUCUUGGGUUCUAUUCCCAGCACUGCCA